GCAGCAGCCCUUGAAGGACAUCGGGCAGCACUGUGCUGGGGGCUCCUGGGGGGCCUGGGGGGCACCACCCUCCUCCUGGGGAUGGCACUGCUCGCCCACCGCUGCUGUCACAGGUGCCCAGGCGCUGUCCCCUCGGACACGGCCAUCUACCUGAACGUGGUGUCCCUCUCGCUGCGGGACCCCCCAAAGCUGCCACCCCCCGAGCCGGGGAUCAGCCCGUACCAGCGGGAGCUGCAGCGGGCACGGGGCCCCCCCCUGCCCCCCCGGCCCUGAGGGUGCCCGCUGGGCCUCACACCCUCCCCCAGCUCUGCCCUUCCUCAGGAAACCCCCCGAAAAAGGUGUUUGGCAGCAUCCUGUCACCCGGCUCAGCGUCCUCUCCGUCCCCCCCCGCCCCGUGCCAUCCUGUGCCCCUCCUUGUCACUGUGCCAGUCUGUUGUCCCCUGGCCUCUUCCUUGGUGUCACACGAGGGCUGUGCUGGGGGGUGGGUAGCAAGGGGGGGCAGUGCCACCAGCCCCUCACCAUGUGGGUGACCCCAGGCAAUGCCACCCCGUGCCGUGCCCGUGGCUGGGGGCACUCAUGUCGACCCCCCCCCCUUCCUGGGGAUCCUUCACGGUGAUGAGACCAGGGUGGGACAGCAGUG